CCUACGGGAGGCAGCAGUCGAGAAUUAUUCACAAUGGGGGAAACCCUGAUGGUGCGACGCCGCGUGGGGGAAUGAAGGUCUUCGGAUUGUAAACCCCUGUCAUGUGGGAGCAAAUUAAAAAGAUAGUACCACAAGAGGAAGAGACUGCUAACUCUGUGCCAGCAGCCGCGGUAAUACAGAGGUCUCAAGCGUUGUUCGGAAUCACUGGGCGUAAAGCGUGCGUAGGCUGUUUCGUAAGUCGUGUGUGAAAGGCGCGGGCUCAACCCGCGGACGGCAAAUGAUACGGGGAGACUAGAGUAAGGGAGGGGGAACCGGAAUUCUCGGUGUAGCAGUGAAAUGCGUAGAUAUCGAGAGGAACACUCGUGGCGAAGGCGGGUUCCUGGACAUUAACUGACGCUGAGGCACGAAGGCCAGGGGAGCGAAAGGGAUUAGAUACCCUAGUAGUC
rnacentral:rRNA from 1 species